GGGGGCGUAGUCUAGCGGUCGGAUGCAUGCAUGGGGUGCAUGAGGUCAUGGGUUCAAAUCCCAUCGCCCCCA
rnacentral:tRNA from 2 species